CACCGGCAGCUCAAGUGGUACCCGCUUUUAUUGGGCCUAAAGCGUCCGUACCCGGUCUGAUAAGUCUCUGGUGAAAUCCCACAGCUUAACUGUGGGAAUUGCUGGAGAUACUAUCAUGACUCGAGGUCGGGAGAGGCUGGAGGUACUCCCAGGGUAGGGGUGAAAUCCUGUAAUCCUGGGAGGACCACCUGUGGCGAAGGCGUCCAGCUGGAACGAACCUGACGGUGAGGGACGAAAGCCAGGGGCGCGAACCGGAUUAGAUACCCGGGUAGUCCUGGCCGUAAACGAUGUGGACUUGGUGUAGGGAUGGCUUCGAGCUGCCCCAGUGCCGAAGGGAAGCUGUUAAGUCCACCGCCUGGGAAGUACGGCC
rnacentral:rRNA from 1 species